rnacentral:lncRNA from 1 species
ACAUCAUCUGCAGUAGGACGGGGGAGUUGGAGCCCUGGUCAGGCCACUCUGCUACUGACCACAGUUUUCUCAUCUCUAAAAAGGCGCAGUAACAAUAUAAUUACCGUAUGCAGUCCCCCAGGAUACAGGGUCAAAGGAGAGCACAACCAUCGCAGUUGGAAGCCCAUGGGGCAGCAGGGCCCAGGACACAGUGAGCAUACAAUAGACAUUAGCUGCUGUGGUGUCUUGAUUUCAAGCCCAGUGCAGAUGCAUCUGACUUACGAAACUUCAGUGACACCUGCUCUGUGCCAGACACUGAAGAUGGAGCAGUGAACAGCACUGACCCAGCCUGUCCUCCUGUUGCCUGCAGGCCAGCAAGGUCUCGCUGUGUUACCCUGGCUGGAGUGCAGUGGCUACUUACAGGCAUGAUCAUAGCAUACUGCAGCCUCGAACUCCUGGACUAGAGCAGUUCUCCUGCCUCAGCCUCCAGAGCAGCUGGGACUGCAGACACGCACCACAGAGCCCAGCCUGAGUCAUUUUGAUUCUGUAACUGGCUUCCUCUCGGCGGGCAGGCUCACACCCUCCACCCCCAGCUGGAGAUGGAAGGAGGAUGCUCACCGCCCAUUCCUCAUGCAGGCCAUCGAUGGAAAUGUCAGACAGUGCGAGUCCACGCCUGAACACUUCUGGGGUCCGCUCUGGGACUGACACUGGCAGAUCCAUCGGUGAGCUCCCGCCUGCCACCUCUGGGCCUGCAUUGCGGUGAUAGGGCCAAGGGCCUGGGCCUUCAAUUCUCCAGACUUGCCAAAAUGCUCAGCGCAGGCCUCGUCGGCAACUGCAGACAAGCAGAGGCAGCACCUGGGCUCUGCCUGUGCCUGGCACAGUGAAGCGAGGGUGGGGGCAGGAAUGAGGGUCCUCUCCAUGCAAGGGGGGAAGAUAGAAGAACAAAAUUUCACCCUAAUGUAGUGUCUUUAGACCGUGCAA